CUGUAGUUGUUCUGGUGACAAUAGUGUCCCUUUAAGAGUGAUGCAUGGCAUGCCCGCUCUUUGAUUAUGUGUAGUCUGCCACCUCAAUCCUGGGCUCUUGUUGACUCUGAGGUUACCACUACAGGUGACCCAGGCAGUAAUAGUAGGGAGGAAAUUUCAAAGACUGACUUGUCGUAGAGGUGGCAUCCUAUGGCAAUGCCACAUUUAAAGUCAC